UAACACCGUACAUAUAUGUGUGUUCCCGGCACUUUACCAGUGCAGAUUACAUUACUCCUGAUGAAGAUUGUUACACUAGGCGAUUUUUAAAGAAAACCGCAGUCCCUACUCAACAGUUGCCAGAAAGGAGUGUUUAUAGUGAAAGGUCAAAAAAAAAAUCAGAAGAAAGGGUAGAACGACUUAACAAAAGAAGAAAAUUGGAUAUAACUGUGCAAGAACUCAAUGAGGCUGGUAUUGAGGCUGAAAAUUCAUUUAAAAGGAAUGAUGCAGCUGAAGCAUUGUUGAGUCUCAAAGAAGCCCCACUUGGAGUGACUGACAAUGAGAAUUGUACUUUUCCAGUGAUUACUAAACAUUUCCAAGAUUGUUCCACACAGACUGAAGAAAGUAGUUUUUGGGAUAAUACUAAACCUAUGAAAGAUACCAGUGUUCAAGUGAACACUUCUUGGUUUUCGGUAGCUGAUUUUAUUAUCAAUAAUAAUAAGGCGUUAAGUAUUUUAACCGGAAUUCCAUCAUUUAAUGUUCUGUAUCUUUUAAUUCAUUUACUUUCUAAAUUUAAAAAAGAUGUUCGUUCUCAUCGUUUAAGUAUUAAACACCGUAUUUUAUUGGUCUUUAUGAAGUUAAAGUUAGACUUGACUUAUUCAGCUCUUGGGAUUUUAUUUGGUGAUAUAUCAGUAACAUCAAUAAAACGAAUUUUUUCUGAAACUGUACAGAUUUUGGCUGAUAUUAUGAAAGAACUUAUUUACUUACCACCUAAAGAGAAUGUGUUACAAAAUAUACCUAUGUGUUUUAAAAAGUACCAAAAAGUACGAAUUGUGU